rnacentral:lncRNA from 1 species
CAAACAGUAAAAUUUUAAGAAGUUGUCACCAACUUAAUUUAUUAUUAUUAUUCAUAGUUAUUUCAUUGCACAUUAUACAUAUACAGUAUCCAGGCCGGCUUUGAAUUAGUCUAAUUUACCUUUGAAUCAAAUGCAGGAUAAGCACAAAAAAUAAAGAGUACCACACAAAACACAAAAGAAAUCAGAGGAAAAAUGAAGCACACACAUCGAACCAAACACGAGAAAACAAGAAAUAAAACGUCAAAACCUGAAAUAAAAAGGCUGAAAACGUUGCACAAAAAUAACCCUUUACCACCCUCCCAGAAUUAUGCAUACAGUGUACAUGUAUAUCUUUUAUUUGAAAUAUAUAUACAAGGAGCCAUUCUUUGGUAAAACAAUUAAAGAGUGGAAUACCUUGCCCAUAAGACUGUCAUGAGUUAUGAGUACUGAAUCUUUCAAGGCUCAACUAUAUCUUGGUCAUUAAAUUUAAAUGACAUGUUUUUAAUUGCAC